rnacentral:rRNA from 1 species
AUCAGGUAAGAACACCCGCUGAACUUAAGCAUAUCAAUAAGCGGAGGAAAAGAAAAUAACAAUGAUUCCCCUAGUAGCUGCGAGUGAAGAGGGACAAGCUCAAAUUUUAAAUCCAUCGGGUUUUACCUGAUCGAGUUGUAAUUUGAAGAAGCGUUUUCUGCGUAUUUGAUCAGCCUAAGUCCUAUUGAAUGAGGCAUCAUGGAGGGUGAUAAUCCCGUCCGGUUGAUCAUUUGCGUUUUACGAUACGCUUUCUAAGAGUCAAGUUGUUUGGGAUUGCAGCUUAAAAUGGGAGGUAAAUUUCUCCUAAGGCUAAAUAACGGCGAGAGACCGAUAGCGAACAAGUACCGUGAGGGAAAGAUGAAAAGAACUUUGAAAAGAGAGUUAAACAGUACGUGAAAUUGUUGAAAGGGAAACGAUUGAAGCCAGUCGUACCUUCGGGUAAUCAGCCUUUCGGGUGCGAUUCUGUGGAGUUUGAGGAGCUUAACACCUUCAUGCUUUGCAUAUUCGUGCUCUUGGGUGUACUUGCCCGUGUGGUUGGUUAACAUCAAUUUCGGGCACCAUAAAAUGGCUGGAGGGAUGUAGCUUCGAUCUUGUAUUGAAGUGUUAUAACCUUCGGUAGAUGUGGUGAUCGAGAUUGAGGAUUGCAACGGAUACCUUUCGGGGCUACCUGUCUGAUCUCUGAUCGUUGCUUUGGUGCUGAAAGCGUGCUUAUAGUUAUCAAAGUCGAUGGUUAAUAGGUUAGAAUGGGUUAAAUUCGUUAAGGAUGUUGACGUAAUGGCUUUAAACGACCCGUCUUGAAACACGGACCAAGGAGUCUAACAUAUAUGCGAGUGUU